UUGAUUUCUAAACAUAUUGGUUCUGGUCACGUUCAGCUAAUGUUUCUAAUAAUCUCGUAGCCCUGCGCUAAAUAUUAGAAAUAAAAGGUACUAAGUGGGGGCAGAACGUAUUCCACUUAUAAUAAUUACAAAGCAAGCAUACCUUGGAUUCUUUUGAUGCUAAAUUAUUAAGUUGCAAUUUUAUAUAAUUUUCACGUUUGUACGCAUGAAACUAUAAAUACGACCUGAUACCUCUGAACGUGGACACUCUUCCAAGCGCUUACUGAAUAGCAUGGUUAAGAGUAAAAUAUGUAAAAUUUAUUUAUUUUCGGAUCAAAACUAUUAGAUUUCAAGACAUGGAAGAAAAAGAGUAAUAUAGACGAACAUUAAUGACAUGAGUUACUUCGCAUCAACAAUUAGUAGUAUGGGCUCAUCCAAGUCAACAGGCUGCGAUAGCAAUUGUAGU